GAUUUCUGGUUAGUCGCCCUGGCCCGGGGGUUCGCCUCUGAGUGCCGGUGUGUGCUAGCCAUCCUUCUAGAGAGCCGUACGGGACCAUUCAUUUGGCUCUGUGCGUGCGAUCUAGAUCUUUUACUUUGAAAAAAUUAGAGUGUUUAAAGCAGGCUUUUGCUAUGAAUACAUUAGCAUGGAAUAAUAAUCUAGGACUUCGGUUCUAUUUUGUUGGUUUCUAUAACUGAAGUAAUGAUUGAUAGGGAUAGUUGGGGGUGCUAGUAUUGGCCGGCCAGAGGUGAAAUUCUUGGAUUCGGUCAAGACUAACUUAUGCGAAAGCAUU
rnacentral:rRNA from 1 species